UAAAACUGGGGAUGUUGGAAUGGCUCAAUCAAAUCAAAUUUCCUUGAGUUUUAUUGGGUCUUUUAAUUUGAUUGAGCCGUGCCAAUAUCACCAGCUUUCAU
rfam:Gossypium hirsutum cultivar TM-1 chromosome 21, whole genome shotgun sequence